AACACAGCCCCUUGUGCUAUUCGCGAUUUUGCAUAGGUCGACCGUCGACUCUCUGUUCUUUGCUAGCAAACUCGAUUUACCCGAUAGAAUGGCAGAAGACAGUAGUUGCCGUAAAGCUUCUGAAGAAUCCACGGCGGCUGUGACAGCAGCGACAAGACAAAGGUGCUGGAUUUUUAAUCUCAUUCGUUCUCAGAGAUGAUGGUUUGAAGAACAACUUCCCAGAUGGAUUUAGUGUUAACUCGCCUGUCAUCCUUGCAUGAGCUUAAAAUUUGCUCUAAUAGGUUGGGGAAUGAUAUAGGCGUAUAGCCCCAACCUGUAUCAACCCUGAACCAUAUUAUCUCCUCUAUCAGGCCCAUGGAAGCACCAACAUCUUCAGCAGCAGCUGAAUCUGACAUAGUAAGGAACAUAGUCAACAUACUUACUUCCCAACCUUCCCUCCAAUCACUAAAGCCAUACAUUCAUCACCUCACCCCUUCUUUGAUACCAUCAAUCUUCUCAUCUGCAUCCCAUUCUUCGUGCCCUAGCACACUUCUUACCUUCUUUCAAUGGUGUCAUACUAAUGUAUCCAAUUUCACCCAUGACUGCAAUUCCCUGCCUUCCCUUCUCAUCCUCCUCCCUUGUCUCUUUAAACAAAAUAAGUUCUCUGCUGCCAAAUCUCUUCUACUCUCCUUCAUCGCUGCUGACACUCGUCAUGUCCUUCACUACCACCUUCUCCAUCCAUCUUCUCGCUUCCCUUUCCCCUCCAAAGCCCUCCUUGACACUGCAGUUGGUGCAUAUAUCCAGUACGGGAAACCUCACCUCGCGUUUCAGAUUUUCAAGAAGAUGAAGCGCCACCGUCUCCUCCCAACAGUCCUCACCUGCAACACCCUGCUCAAUUCCCUGGUAAGAUACCCAUCUUCUUAUUCACUUCCUAUGUCAAGACAAGUCUUUGAUGAUGCCAUCAAGCUUGGGGUCAUCCCAAAUACAAACACUUUCAAUAUUAUGAUUUAUGGGUAUUGCUCAAAUUCUAAGUUUAAAGAAGCCCUGAUGUACCUUAACCGGAUGAGUGACUUUGGUUGCUUACCUGAUAAUGUUACUUAUAAUACCAUCCUAGAUGCUUUCUGUAAGAAAGGACUUUUGAAUGAGGCUCGGGAUUUACUUUCUGAUAUGAAAUAUAGAGGGCUUUCCCCAAAUCGGAAUACAUUUAACACGUUAGUUUCUGCGUAUUGUAAGUUGGGUUGGCUGAAGGAGGCAGCAAAGACAAUUGAAUUGAUGACCCAAAGCAAAAUUUUGCCUGAUAUUUGGACUUACAACAUGUUGAUUCAUGGGUUGUGCAAGGAGGGUAGGAUUGAAGAAGCUCUCAGACUUCGAGAUGAGAUGGAGAACCUGAAAUUGUUUCCAGAUGUUGUUACUUAUAACACAUUGAUUAAUGCAUGCUUUGAGUGGAAGAUGAACUUUAUGGCCUAUGAGUUGGUUGAGAAAAUGGCUGAGAAGGGUGUGGAGCGGAAUGCUGUUACCCAUAAUAUUAUCAUUAAGGGGUUGUGCAAACAGGGGAAGAUAGAGGAAGCAUGGGAAUCCAUUAAAAAAAUGGAGGAAAAUGGGGUUUCUCCUGACUGUGUUUCUUACAAUACCUUGAUCAAUGGGUACUCAAAAUCAGGAAAAAUGGCGGAUGCAUUCAAGAUGAUGAAUGAGAUGGCUCGGAAAGGUUUGAAGAUGGACAUUGUUACUUUUAAUACUGUUCUCUACAAUCUCUGUGAGGAGAGGAAGCUAGAUGAGGCCCGUGGCCUACUUUGUAGUGCUGCAAAGAAGGGCUAUUCCAUUGAUGAGGUUAGUUAUGGCACUUUGAUAAUGGGAUAUUUCAAAGAUGGGGAUGUUGAUGGGGCUUUGAAGCUUUGGGACGAGAUGAAAGAGAAAGAGAUCCUUCCUAGUGUUGUUACCUACAAUUCAGUUAUUGGAGGGCUUUGCAAGUGUGGCAAGACCGAGGAGGCAUUGGCCAAGUUGAAUGAGCUUAUACGGAAUGGGUUGGUGCCUGAUGAGACUACGUACAACAGUCUUAUUCAUGGGUACUGUAGGGAAGGAGAUCUGGAAAAAGCUUUUCAGUUCCACAAUAAAAUGGUUGAGAAAUCCUUCAAGCCAGAUACUUAUACUUGUAAUAUUCUUCUUCGUGCACUCUGCGAUGGGAGAAUGAUAGAUAGGGCUCGUAAGCUCUUCCAAACAUGGGUCUCAAAGGGGAAAGUUGUUGAUACCGUCACUUACAACAUUCUGAUAACAGGUAUGUGCAAAUCUGGUAAAAUAGAGUGGGCAUUGGAGCUUUUCAGAGAAAUGGAAGAGAAGAAACUGGAACCGGACCACAUUACAUACAAUGCUAUUUUAUGUGGACUUACAGAGUCGGGUAGGACUGAAGAUGCCGAGGAGUUUCUAUCCAAUAUGAUUCAAAAUGGAAAAUUACCCAAUCAGUUCUCUCUUGCAGUUAGUAGGGAAGCCACCCCAGGAGCACAUGGUAAAAAAGGCCAAGAAGCGGUUGCUAAUGGAACUCCACAUGACUGCGAUUCAAGUUCUGUUGCUUACUCUAAGCGCAUUGAUGACCUAUGUAAUGAAAGAAAAUACAAAGAAGCAAUGUGCACAUUGGAAGAAUCAAUGAAGAAUGGUAUUGCUAUAAAGAGAUCCGCAUAUAUUACUUUAAUGGAAGGGCUCAUUAUUAGGCGGAAAAGCACAUCAAAGGUGGCCCAAUAGAAGUGGCCUUUAUGUUGUUUCUAGUCUCUUCUCGAUCAGCGGGUCAGCCUUAUUAUCUUAUUUUAGUCAGCGGUGAGCAGUUGAACCAGUUAAGUGAAGGGGGAAGAGAUUGUGUAUUUUGUAAGCAUCAUGUCCAAUUCAUGAAUCAAUUUGUAAAUAGAUUUUGAAAGACUUAUUACUUGAAUGGUAUGUUCUCAUUUCCCUUGUUUUUCAUAUUACAAUUCCCAUUAUUCCCCUGUUUUUCAUAUUACAAUUCCCAUUAUUGUAGCGAACCAUGGUUGAAUUGAAGCUAAGUUUUGCAGUGGUUUAUGCAUGAGAGCCACUAAAAUCAAGCUCUAGAGAUAAAUCAGUUCUGUUGUCUUGCAUAAAUUCGGUUCAAGAUGUUUCUUCUAUAGUUUUUUUUUUUUUUUUUUCAUCUGAUAUUGUUAUGCUUAAUGAAAAGAUAUUUGGAAGAUAGAAAUCAGUUAUGUUCUCUUGCAUUUUUGCAGUGAAUCAACUACUUGAAGAUAACCUUUCUGAUGAUAUUUUUGAGUCAGUUUUAGAAAAUUCCUUCCCUAGACAGUUACACCCACAGCAUGAGAAUAGUGCUUAAAAUUUAAACAGUUCAGGUGAGGUCAUGGGAAACUUCCAUAUGCAUUGAAGGAAAGAAAAAUGAUCAAUCUUUUGAAAAUCCUAACAGUGAAAAAAAGAUCUGACAGUAUUUUUGUUCAUGUAGAGUAGAAUCAACGAUUCAUUCAUACAAGCAUAAGUAUGCUUCAAAGUUACAUUUAGUGAUCAUUUUAGAUGUCUUCUUGCCAACCCUCUAUCUCAGCCACUUGUGCUUCAUGUUCUACAUUGCUGUUUAUAAAUAGUUUUACUAGCAGACACCAUGAUGUUUUUGAUGUGGUCCUACUGA